rnacentral:lncRNA from 1 species
AUCGAGUUUGAUCAUAUCAAUCCCAAUCUGAGUCGAACUAAAUCUAAUUCAAUUAGACUUAUUUCAAAGAUCUUUACUCAAUCAAAUUGAGUAAAUUAGUAAUUUAAUUACUAAUUAAUUUUUCAUAAAUAGUAGAGUCCCAGUCCCAGUGAGAUUCUCCCACAGAGUCUUAGUCCAAGUAGGACUCUUCACCAGAGUCACAAUCCAAUUGGACUCUUCAGCCAUCAGAUCUGAUCAAAUCUUCUAAUGCGUGUGACCCCAUAGAUUCAAACUUAAGCCAGUAGCAUAAGAAUAACUUUCUAUACCAAUUGAUGUAACCAUCUAGCAAUGAUGACCCGAUGAUCGGAUAGGUUGAAGUGUUGCAAAGCAAUCUUCUAGAACCUAUUGGUAUAUGGUUAUCGCAUAAUUCAUCUCUUUGACCCAAAUGCUCAAGAUGACUUAGGAUUUAAUUAUCAAUCCUAAUUAAGUCGAUCACAUUAUAUUUUAAUAUUUUAAAUCUAUCUCAUGGAUUAUCCUGGUCA